rnacentral:rRNA from 1 species
UACGUAGGGUGCAAGCGUUAAUCGGAAUUACUGGGCGUAAAGCGUGCGCAGGCGGCUUUGCAAGACAGAUGUGAAAUCCCCGGGCUCAACCUGGGAACUGCAUCUGUGACUGCAAGGCUAGAGUACGGUAGAGGGGGAUGGAAUUCCGCGUGUAGCAGUGAAAUGCGUAGAGAUGCGGAGGAACACCGAUGGCGAAGGCAGCCCCCUGGGCCAACACUGACGCUCAGGCACGAAAGCGUGGGGAGCAAACAGG